rnacentral:snoRNA from 1 species
GUCCAUGUAUCUUUGGGACCUGUUGGCUGUGGUGGUCUCCCUACCUAGCCAUGGAAGAAUAUAUCCUUUAUUGGCAAAGCUGCCAUCAUUUAAUUGGUAUCAGAUUCUGACUGGCACAAGUAAGAGUC